rnacentral:rRNA from 1 species
GGCGGCAGGCCUAACACAUGCAAGUCGAGCGGAAACGAGUUAUCUGAACCUUCGGGUGAACGAUAACGGCGUCGAGCGGCGGACGGGUGAGUAAUGCCUAGGAAAUUGCCCUGAUGUGGGGGAUAACCAUUGGAAACGAUGGCUAAUACCGCAUGAUGCCUACGGGCCAAAGAGGGGGACCUUCGGGCCUCUCGCGUCAGGAUAUGCCUAGGUGGGAUUAGCUAGUUGGUGAGGUAAGGGCUCACCAAGGCGACGAUCCCUAGCUGGUCUGAGAGGAUGAUCAGCCACACUGGAACUGAGACACGGUCCAGACUCCUACGGGAGGCAGCAGUGGGGAAUAUUGCACAAUGGGCGCAAGCCUGAUGCAGCCAUGCCGCGUGUGUGAAGAAGGCCUUCGGGUUGUAAAGCACUUUCAGUCGUGAGGAAGGUAGUGUAGUUAAUAGCUGCAUUAUUUGACGUUAGCGACAGAAGAAGCACCGGCUAACUCCGUGCCAGCAGCCGCGGUAAUACGGAGGGUGCGAGCGUUAAUCGGAAUUACUGGGCGUAAAGCGCAUGCAGGUGGUUUGUUAAGUCAGAUGUGAAAGCCCGGGGCUCAACCUCGGAAUAGCAUUUGAAACUGGCAGACUAGAGUACUGUAGAGGGGGGUAGAAUUUCAGGUGUAGCGGUGAAAUGCGUAGAGAUCUGAAGGAAUACCGGUGGCGAAGGCGGCCCCCUGGACAGAUACUGACACUCAGAUGCGAAAGCGUGGGGAGCAAACAGGAUUAGAUACCCUGGUAGUCCACGCCGUAAACGAUGUCUACUUGGAGGUUGUGGCCUUGAGCCGUGGCUUUCGGAGCUAACGCGUUAAGUAGACCGCCUGGGGAGUACGGUCGCAAGAUUAAAACUCAAAUGAAUUGACGGGGGCCCGCACAAGCGGUGGAGCAUGUGGUUUAAUUCGAUGCAACGCGAAGAACCUUACCUACUCU